rnacentral:rRNA from 1 species
UCGAGAAUUUUUCUCAAUGGGGGAAACCCUGAAGGAGCGACGCCGCGUGGAGGAUGAAGGUUUUCGGAUUGUAAACUCCUGUCAUUGGUGAACAAGACUGUCGAUUAACUGUCGAAUAGUUUGCUAGUAGCCGAAGAGGAAGGGACGGCUAACUCUGUGCCAGCAGCCGCGGUAAUACAGAGGUCCCGAGCGUUGUUCGGAUUCAUUGGGCGUAAAGGGUGCGUAGGCGGCGGGGCAAGUCUGAUGUGAAAUCCCGGGGCUCAACCCCGGAACUGCAUUGGAUACUGCCUUGCUAGAGUACUGGAGAGGGAACUGGAAUUUACGGUGUAGCAGUGAAAUGCGUAGAGAUCGUAAGGAAGGCCAGUGGCGAAGGCGAGUUCCUGGACAGUAACUGACGCUGAGGCACGAAGGCCAGGGGAGCAAACGG